rnacentral:rRNA from 1 species
UAGCGUAGGAGACGUAGCGUUGUCCGGAGUUACUGGGCGUAAAGGGUGCGCAGGUGGCGGCGACGCGUGGGGGGUGAAAUCGCCCGGCUUAACUGGGCGGGGGCCUUCCAGACGGCGUGGCUUGAGCAGCGGAGGGGGACGUGGAAUUCCGGGUGGAGCGGUGAAAUGCGUAGAGAUCCGGAGGAACACCGACGGCGCAGGCAGCGUCCUGGCCGCUAGCUGACACUGGAGGCGACAGAAAGCUGGGGGAGCGAAACACG